GAGCUGGUUCCUGGGCCGCCUCAGAUAGCAGGAUGGUGUGUCAAGUAUCAUGGCCUGACAGGAAGGCUUUCCGGUUAUGACUGAGGCCAGCAUCUCACGUGUCCUGGCUACGCCAAAUCACUGCGGAUGCCGGAUGCCGAGGACCGGAGAGCCAACCGCUUUGAGGCGUGAGCUCUGUGGCGUGGCUCGAGUAAUCACUAGGCUCUGACGGCUACGGCGCCGUCGACCUGGUUGAAUAGCUGGGGCCUGGACGAGGGUGCCCUUAGUACGGUGACCAAUCGGUUACGUCAGAGGGGCGGUCGAACACGCUGCCGUCGCGUGGCUGCCGGCGGCCGCCCCCUCGCACGUGAAUCUCCUGGAGCGAGGACUGCGAGAGGCGGCCGCAUCAUCACCUGUGUCCGCGCUCAACACCGUGCCACGCACUAAUGGCGGAAGCCCGACUUUCUCCGAUGGAGGAGAGAAGCUGGACGCUGGCUGCCAGGCUGCUGGGGAGGGCGCUGGGUAAUGGGUCUGCCAUCAAGGGACCCCCUGCGCGCGACCGCCGAGGCCUCGGCACCGGCGCGCCUGUCUUCGGUCCUAGGCUGGAGAUUGCGAGGCCGCCAGGCCUGGGCGAGAGCGAGAAUCCCACCGUGGCAACAGACGGCUGGCGUCAUUUUCCGGUUGGACGUGUGCCCGAUCCGGGCUGGGGCCACGGCGGCGGAAAGGGAAAACGUGGCUACGCUGCACCUCGCGUUCCUGCCCCUGUGUGCUGCCCGGCUUUGGACGGACGGAUCUGCGGAGGGCGGAGUCUUCAGGCGCUGGGCGGGAGCCGUGCUGGUCUGGCUGGACGAAGAGGCCGAGGAACUGCGGGUCCCGGCCGGAGAGCUGUGCUAUAGCUACCGCGCGGAGAUUGUGGCGCUGUUGACCGGUCCGGAGACCCUACUCGGAAGAGACAGAGACCAGGACCUGCGGUCCGUACCUAUCUGCUAACUGUGCGGUGGUGGUGGUGUAGUGCAGCAUCUUUGGAUGGAUAGCUACAUUUCACGAUUAAAUAGCUGUUACGUUUCUGACAUUGUUCUGACAUUGACAUUGUCCUUUCUUUCGUUUGAUAAUGGUCUGUUGGCCGAAAUAUCACAAAUAAAAAGGUAACUUUGCAUUAAUUAUGCUAUAGACUCGAGGAAUAAGGUCAAUGUUUUUCUUUCAUAUAACUGUAUCAAUCAUGUUCCUCGCCAGAGCACUGGCAAACAUUAAUGCUGUUACGUUUCAGUGCAGGUGGCGUGACGAACAAUGUGGUAGUUUCUGUUGGCCACUUCUGCCGCCGCUGCUAUUUCCUACUCGAAGGCGGGCGCGCUGUUUGGCUGGGCCGGCAGGAUGUUCCCAUUAUGUGUCGACGACAAAGCGAGUAUAUUCAUGUUCUUUUAAUGCACAGAGGUCUGUUGUAUAUUUGAAGGUUUAUUUUAGGUUGACGAUUGCGAAGGGCAGAUUCAUCUUCUCUCUUUCAUUUGUGUUGCCACUUUAGGGU